CUCACAUCCACCAGUGAGACAUCAGGGCCCUCCUCAUAGGUAACUGUGAAGAUUGAAGACCACCUCAUCUUAGAUCAGACAAUCAUCAGUUUCACCACCCCUCAGAGUGACAGCUCUGGAAUUCAUAUUCAUUUUGUCAGAUGAAAAUCCU